UAAAAAUACAGAAAUUAGCCAGGUGUGGUGGUGGGCACCUGUAAUCCCAGCUACUCGGGAGGCUAAGGCAGGAGAAUUGCUCGAACUUGGGAGGCAGAGGUUGCAGUGAGCCGAGAUCAUGCCACUGCACUCCAGCCUGGGUGACAGAGCAAGACUCCGUCUCAAAAAAAAAAAAAAAAAGCUUGGAGUCAGAUUCGACAUUAAUCAGUAUACUUUCUCUCAAGUAGGGGACAAUUUCUAAGAUUUUAGUCUUUAAAAAUUUAUUAACUAGUCUGAGCAUGGUGGCUUGUGUCUAUAAUCCCAGCACUUUGUGGGGCCGAGGCAGAUGGAUCACUUGUGCCCAGGAGUUGGAGACUAGCCUGGGCAACAUGGCAAAACCCCGUCUCUACAACAAAUGCACACACAAAAAACCCAAUCAGCUGGGUGUGGUGUUACACUCCUGAAGUCCCAGCUACUCGGGAGGCUGAGGCAGGAGGAUCACCUUUGCCAGGGAGUUUGAGGCUGCAGGGAGCUGGGUUCACGCCACUGCGCUCCAGCCUGGAUGACACAGCAAGCCCCUUUCUCAAAAAAAAAAGAUAAAAAAUUAAAUUAAAUUAAUUAACUACACUGGGAAGGCAAAAUUCAGCAUUUUUUAUAGCUAAAUUUUAUCCUGCUUCAGUCUUUUAUCAUGUAACUAUGUAUAUUUUUUACAGAGGAGUGAAUUCACUAGGCGUAUCCUCCUUGGAGCACAUCACUCAUAGCCUCCUGGGACGCCCUUUGUCUCGGCAGCUGAUGUCUCUUGUUGCAGGACUUAGGAAUGGAGCUCUUUUACUCACAGGAGGAAAGGUAAGUGGUUAAGGUGUGUUCAUUUUUCUGUAACAUUUAAUAACUUUUCAUUUAUCUUUCUUUGGGUUUUGACCAUCUAUUAUAUAGGGUGGGUUUUGACCAUCUAUUAUAUAGGGUUUAUAUGACAUAUGGAAAGCAUUCAUUUAUUCACUAAUAUUUCUGUGUGUCUGCUUUUAGGUGUUGGGGGAGUGAUGAUGAAUAAGACUGAUGUUCUCCAUGCCCUUUUUCUGUGUCAGUUGAUACAAUUAUAUGGUUUUUCUUUUUUAGGCUAUUAGGUGUUGAUAGGGUUGAGUAACUUACAAAUGUUGAACCAGCCUUGCAUACCUGUGAUAAAUACCACGUAGUUGUGGUGUAUCAUUCUUUCUACAUUGCUGAGUUUUAUCUGCUAAUGUUCUGUUGAGCUUUUGUCCAUUUAAGUUUGAAAGUGAUUAGUUUGCAGUUUUCUGUUUUUGUAUUGUCUUUGUCUGGUUUUGCUAUCCGUGUAAAUCCGGCCUCAUAAAAUGAGUUGGGAAGUAUUCUCUCCUCUUCUUUUGUUUUUUUGGAAGAGGUUGUAUAAAAUUGAGGCUGAAUCUUGGUAGUUGCCACAACGACAGAAACUAUUUCUGUGACUGAAUAUAUUGGGAAUUCCUAUAAAGCAAUUAUUUUCUAGGGAAGUGGAAAAUCAACUUUAGCCAAAGCAAUCUGUAAAGAAGCAUUUGACAAACUGGAUGCCCAUGUGGAGAGAGUUGACUGUAAAGCUUUACGAGGAAAAAGGCUUGAAAACAUACAAAAAACCCUAGAGGUGGCUUUCUCAGAGGCAGUGUGGAUGCAGCCAUCUGUUGUCCUGCUGGAUGACCUUGACCUCAUUGCUGGACUGCCUGCUGUCCCGGAACAUGAGCACAGUCCUGAUGCGGUGCAGAGCCAGCGGCUUGCUCAUGCUUUGAAUGAUAUGAUAAAAGAGUUUAUCUCCAUGGGAAGUUUGGUUGCACUGAUUGCCACAAGUCAGUCUCAGCAAUCUCUACAUCCUUUACUUGUUUCUGCUCAAGGAGUUCACAUAUUUCAGUGCGUCCAACACAUUCAGCCUCCUAAUCAGGAACAAAGAUGUGAAAUUCUGUGUAAUGUAAUAAAAAAUAAACUGGACUGUGAUAUAAACAAGUUCACCGAUCUUGACCUGCAGCAUGUAGCUAAAGAAACUGGAGGGUUUGUGGCUAGAGAUUUUACAGUACUUGUGGAUCGAGCCAUACAUUCUCGACUCUCUCGUCAGAGUAUAUCCACCAGAGAAAGUAUGUUUUACUAUUAAAACCUAAACUUGGAAUCUUCUUUCUAUUGUGGAGAAAUGUAAUUGUAGUAAGACAAGAAUUAAAUAUAUUCCAUUGUAGUAUUUGAAUAAGCAGUUAUUUGAGUAGAAAAUUAGUGUUUCCAGCUAAGAUGAUGGCAUAUUUUGAAAAUUCAUAUAGUGAAUAUAACUAGUAAAAGAAGUUUUGUUUAUUUUUAAACAGAAUUAGUUUUAACAACAUUGGACUUCCAAAAGGCUCUCCGCGGAUUUCUUCCUGCGUCUUUGCGAAGUGUCAACCUGCAUAAACCUAGAGACCUGGGUUGGGACAAGAUUGGUGGGUUACAUGAAGUUAGGCAGAUACUCAUGGAUACUAUCCAGUUACCUGCCAAGUAUCCAGAAUUAUUUGCAAACUUGCCCAUACGACAAAGAACAGGAAUACUGUUGUAUGGUCCGCCUGGAACAGGAAAAACCUUACUAGCUGGGGUAAUUGCACGAGAGAGUAGAAUGAAUUUUAUAAGUGUCAAGGGGCCAGAGUUACUCAGCAAAUACAUUGGAGCAAGUGAACAAGCUGUUCGGGAUAUUUUUAUUAGAGCACAGGCUGCAAAGCCCUGCAUUCUUUUCUUUGAUGAAUUUGAAUCCAUUGCUCCUCGGCGGGGUCAUGAUAAUACAGGAGUUACAGACCGAGUAGUUAACCAGUUGCUGACUCAGUUGGAUGGAGUAGAAGGCUUACAGGGUGUUUAUGUAUUGGCUGCUACUAGUCGCCCUGACUUGAUUGACCCUGCCCUGCUUAGGCCUGGUCGACUAGAUAAAUGUGUAUACUGUCCUCCUCCUGAUCAGGUGACAAUUUCAUAUUUAGAGUCCAAAACCCAACAAAUGCUACACUCUUUCCUUGUGAGCUUUACUUCUGCCAGGUAAUGGCAAUUGUCCUUAGAAGACCAGCUUUCUUAGGGAAAAGCUUUAGCCACUGUUUGCUGCUCAAAGCAUAAAAAGAUUCUGAAUUAGAUGCAAAGCCUUUUUUUGGCCCAGUGCAAGUCUGAAAACUUUGUAAUCCUUCUGUGUUGGCUGAUUGGGGGAAAAAAAAUGCAAGAAACCUAAUGUAUUAUAUUUUCACAUUAUCUUCUGUUCAAAGAUUACAUACUUCCAUUAUCCUGUCAAAAAAAAAACUCUGAUGCAGAAUCAAGCAUGUGAAUCGUAAGCAUGUAAGCAGGUUUCAUAGAGAUAAUUUUUCAACUCUUCCUUGUCCUGUGUUGUUCCAACUCUUAUUCUCCAAUUUAGAAGCAAACAAAUAAAUGAAUGAAAGAACAGAUAGACAAAUGAAUAGUCAAAGGUAUAAAGUAUCUGUAUAUAUGUUACAUGUAGCUAUUAUUUAGAUUUUCCUUUUGAAAUACCUUCUUGGCACACUUGCCUAAAUCUAGAAAAUAAGCACUGUGUGAAUAAGAAAUUAUUUACACUGAAUAUUUUGUAGGUUUUUGGGUUUUUGUUUUUCAGACAAGGUCUCACUUUGUCACGCAGGCUGGAGUACACAGGUACGAUCACAACUCACUGCAGCCUCUAUGUCCCAGGCUCAAGCAAUCUCCCCACCUCAGCCUCCCGAGUAGCUGGGACAACAGGCACACGCUACCAUGCCCAGAUAAUUUUAUUAUUAAUUUUUGUAUAGAGAUGGGGUCUCCCUGUGUUGCCCAGGCUUUCUUGAACUCCAGGGCUCAAGUGAUCCUCCCGCCUCAACCUCCCAAAGUGUUGGGAUUACAGGCGUGAGCCACCAUGCCCAGCCUUAAGAGUGUUUGAUUUUCAUUCAUUUUCCUAUAUAUAUUAUUUCUGUUGGGGAAAAAAUUCCAAGGAAGAUAAAUAGUAGGCUGUUGGUACAUUUCUCAACUUACUUAUAAAGCUUUUUAGAUAUAUAAGAUUAAUUUAUGAAGAAAAUCAUAAGAUACACAAUUUAAGAUAAUAUUUUUAAUUUUAUUUUUUAUUUGUUAAAUAAAUUUUUCUCCCUUCAGGUGUCACGUCUUGAAAUUUUAAAUGUCCUCAGUGACUCUCUACCUCUGGCAGAUGAUGUUGACCUUCAGCAUGUAGCAUCAGUAACUGACUCCUUUACUGGAGCUGAUCUGAAAGCUUUACUUUACAAUGCCCAAUUGGAGGCCUUACAUGGAAUGCUGCUCUCGAGUGGACUCCAGGAUGGAAGUUCCAGCUCUGAUAGUGACCUAAGUCUGUCUUCAAUGGUCUUUCUUAACCAUAGCAGUGGCUCUGACGAUUCAGCUGGAGAUGGAGAAUGUGGCUUAGAUCAGUCCCUUGUUUCUUUAGAGAUGUCCGAGAUCCUUCCAGAUGAAUCAAAAUUCAAUAUGUACCGGCUCUACUUUGGAAGCUCUUAUGAAUCAGAACUUGGAAAUGGAACCUCUUCUGAUUUGAGCUCACAAUGUCUCUCUGCACCAAGCUCCAUGACUCAGGAUUUGCCUGGAGUUCCUGGGAAAGAACAGUUGUUUUCACAGCCUCCAGUGUUAAGGACAGCUUCACAAGAGGGUUGCCAAGAACUUACACAAGAACAAAGAGAUCAACUGAGGGCAGAUAUCAGUAUUAUCAAAGGCAGAUACCGGAGCCAAAGAGGACGAAUCCAUUAACCAACCAGGACCAAUCAAAACCAGACUGGCUAUUAGUCAGUCACAUUUAAUGACUGCACUUGGUCACACAAGACCAUCCAUUAGUGAAGAUGACUGGAAGAAUUUUGCUGAGCUAUAUGAAAGCUUUCAAAAUCCAAAGAGGAGAAAAAAUCAAAGUGGAACAAUGUUUCGACCUGGACAGAAAGUAACUUUAGCAUAAAAUAUACUUCUUUUUGAUUUGGUUCUGUUAAGUUUUUUGAUGGCUUUUCCAUAUGUUGUAACAGGAAAAAAAUGGUGUCUAUGAAUUUCUUCUUAAUUUAACAAAUUUGGUUAAUUUAUAAAAUCACAGAUUGGUAAAUGCUAUAAUUAUGUAAUGAUCAGGAUUGAGAUUAAUACUGUAGUAUAAAUUGGGACAUUAUAACAGAUUCCAUAUUUUAUUUCCUAAAAUCUAAAUUCAGUCUUUAAUGAAAUAAUAUUAGCCAAAUGGUGGAACUAAUUUAUUUCUUUUGAGGAAAAGAUAAUAAAGAAUGUAAUUAAAUUUAAAUUUCUUGGAAUUCCCAGUUGUAUAUUCAUCACCUUUGUAGCAUUUGACAAAUUUUAUGCUUAGCAGCUUCUUCACUGUUUUGAAAUAAAAUAUCCUAUUACCUACUG
rnacentral:sRNA from 1 species